CGUUGGCGACAGGUCGGUUGUCCUCUCAGUUCCUCGGUCGGUGUAGUGUCUCCUGCGCGGUACACUGUUCGGUCCUGGUCGUCCAGAAAACACGCAGCAGGAUAUGAUCUUACUGCUCGCCUCGAUGGGGGAAGAUUUUGAGCUGCCCCUCUUGGAUAUGAGGUGAUGAAACCGUAAGGAUAGCUUGGUGUCCUCUCUGGCCUUCAACACUGCAGUGUGAUGUGUUCUGCAGCGGAGGCUGUCCUCCCAGGAUGCAGCAGCAGAGGCUGUCCUCCCAGGAUGCAGCAGCAGAGGCUGACCUCCCAGGAUGCAGCAGGGCGUCACAGCAGAGAAUCCUGAGAUGUGAAGAGGAAGGACUCCCGUCUUUUCCCUGUGGCUGUGAUGGCAGAACAAUCCUGAGACUCCAGAACUGAAAGCAGUAGGAUGCAGCAGCAGAGGCUGUCCUCCCAGGAUGCAGCAGCAGAGGCUGACCUCCCAGGAUGCAGCAGGGCGUCACAGCAGAGAAUCCUGAGAUGUGAAGAGGAAGGACUCCCGUCUUUUCCCUAUUGCUGAUCUGGUGACAUCAUUGCACAUUGUGGCAACCUUUGUACAGCUGUUGUGUACACUGCAACAGAAUGUCUACUUACUGAAAUAAACAACUAUUUAUCUCUC